UAAAGGGAUGCCUUAGUAACGGCGAGUGAAGCGGCAAGAGCUCAAAUUUGAAAGCGAAUUUUUUCGCAUUGUAAUUUGAAGGCCCGUGUCAACCUUAUAAUAUUCAAGUCCUUUGGAACAAGGCGCCAUUGAGGGUGAUAGCCCCGUGGAAUAUUGUUGGUGACUACGGCACGGAGCCAACGAGUCGAGUUGUUUGGGAAUGCAGCUCAAAGUGGGUGGUAAACUCCAUCUAAAGCUAAAUACCGGCGAGAGACCGAUAGCGAACAAGUACAGUAAUGGAAAGAUGAAAAGCACUUUGAAAAGAGAGUGAAACAGUACGUGAAAUUGUUGAAAGGGAAGGGCUUGCAAGCAGACACGGUUUACCGGGCCAGCAUCGGUAGAGAAAAAGUGAAAAGGGGGGAAGGAUGUGGCGCUUUUGGCGUGUAAUAAUUCCCUCUAAAAGCUUUUUUUCUCCCGAGGCCAGCAAUCCCUUGAAUGUGGGCGUAAGGUUGGCAAGCGGCCGGUCUGAAAAAAGGGAC
rnacentral:rRNA from 1 species